GAUGAACGCUGGCGGCGUGCUUAACACAUGCAAGUCGAACGGAAAGGCCCAAGCUUGCUUGGGUACUCGAGUGGCGAACGGGUGAGUAACACGUGGGUGAUCUGCCCUGCACUUCGGGAUAAGCCUGGGAAACUGGGUCUAAUACCGGAUAGGACCACAUUUUGGAUGGUGUGGUGGAAAGUUUUUCGGUGUGGGAUGAGCUCGCGGCCUAUCAGCUUGUUGGUGGGGUAGUGGCCUACCAAGGCGUCGACGGGUAGCCGGCCUGAGAGGGUGUACGGCCACAUUGGGACUGAGAUACGGCCCAGACUCCUACGGGAGGCAGCAGUGGGGAAUAUUGCACAAUGGGCGCAAGCCUGAUGCAGCGACGCCGCGUGGGGGGUGACGGCCUUCGGGUUGUAAACUCCUUUCGCUAGGGACGAAGCGCAAGUGACGGUACCUGGAGAAGAAGCACCGGCUAACUACGUG
rnacentral:rRNA from 1 species